GAUGAAGAACGCAGUGAAAUGCGAUAAGUAAUGUGAAUUGCAGAAUUCAGUGAAUCAUCGAAUCUUUGAACGCACAUUGCGCCCGGCAGCAAUCUGUCGGGCAUGCCUGUCCGAGCGUCAUUUCUUCCCUCGAGCGCGGCUAGCCCUACGGGGCCUGCCGUCGCCCGGUGUUGGGGCUCUACGGGUGGGGCUCGUCCCCCCCGCAGUCCCCGAAAUGUAGUGGCGGUCCAGCCGCGGCGCCCCCUGCGUAGUAGAUCCUACAUCUCGCAUCGGGUCCCGGCGAAGGCCAGCCGUCGAACCUUUUAUUUUCAUGGUUUGACCUCGGAUCAGGUAGGGUUACCCGCUGAAUUUAAGCAUAUCAAUAAGCGGAGGA
rnacentral:misc_RNA from 1 species